rnacentral:rRNA from 1 species
ACGAACGCUGGCGGCGUGCUUAACACCUGCAAGUCGAACGGAAAGGCCCUGCUUUUGUGGGGUGCUCGAGUGGCGAACGGGUGAGUAACACGUGAGUAACCUGCCCUUGACUUUGGGAUAACUUCAGGAAACUGGGGCUAAUACCGGAUAGGAGCUCCUGCUGCAUGGUGGGGGUUGGAAAGUUUCGGCGGUUGGGGAUGGACUCGCGGCUUAUCAGCUUGUUGGUGGGGUAGUGGCUUACCAAGGCUUUGACGGGUAGCCGGCCUGAGAGGGUGACCGGCCACAUUGGGACUGAGAUACGGCCCAGACUCCUACGGGAGGCAGCAGUGGGGAAUAUUGCACAAUGGGCGGAAGCCUGAUGCAGCAACGCCGCGUGCGGGAUGACGGCCUUCGGGUUGUAAACCGCUUUCGCCUGUGACGAAGCGUGAGUGACGGUAAUGGGUAAAGAAGCACCGGCUAACUACGUG